CUACGGGUGGCAGCAGUGAGGAAUAUUGCACAAUGGGGGAAACCCUGAUGCAGCAACGCCGCGUGGAGGAUGACGCAUUUCGGUGUGUAAACUCCUUUUAUCAGAGAAGAAAAUGACGGUAUCUGAUGAAUAAGCUCCGGCUAACUCCGUGCCAGCAGCCGCGGUAAUACGGAGGGAGCAAGCGUUAUUCGGAAUCACUGGGCGUAAAGGACGCGUAGGCGGGUUUUUAAGUCAGGUGUGAAAUCCUACAGCUCAACUGUAGAACUGCACUUGAAACUGGGAACCUAGAGUAUGGAAGGGACAGGUGGAAUUAGUGGUGUAGGGGUAAAAUCCGUAGAUAUCACUAGGAAUACCGAAAGCGAAGGCGACCUGCUGGGACAUAACUGACGCUGAGGCGUGAAAGCGUGGGGAGCAAACAGGAUUAGAUACCCUAGUAGUC
rnacentral:rRNA from 1 species